GUAAGUAAACAUAUUGCAAAGGGUACACCUGAUUCCAUUCCGAACUCAGAAGUUAAGUUUUGUAAAGCCGACGAUUCUCGUUAAGGGUAAAAUAGGUCAUUGCUUACU
rnacentral:rRNA from 1 species